AGCCCCGUAGUGUAGUGGCCAAGCAUAAUCGGCUCUGAACCGGUUGACCCAGGUUCGAACCCUGGCGGGGCUA
rnacentral:tRNA from 1 species